ACGCACGCUGGCGGCGUGCUUAACACAUGCAAGUCGCACGGAAAGGCCCUGCUUUUGUGGGGUGCUCGAGUGGCGAACGGGUGAGUAACACGUGAGUAACCUGCCCUUGACUUUGGGAUAACUUCAGGAAACUGGGGCUAAUACCGGAUAGGAGCUCCUGCUGCAUGGUGGGGGUUGGAAAGUUUCGGCGGUUGGGGAUGGACUCGCGGCUUAUCAGCUUGUUGGUGGGGUAGUGGCUUACCAAGGCUUUGACGGGUAGCCGGCCUGAGAGGGUGACCGGCCACAUUGGGACUGAGAUACGGCCCAGACUCCUACGGGAGGCAGCAGUGGGGAAUAUUGCGCAAUGGGCGGAAGCCUGAUGCAGCAACGCCGCGUGCGGGAUGACGGCCUUCGGGUUGUAAACCGCUUUCGCCUGUGACGAAGCGUGAGUGACGGUAAUGGGUAAAGAAGCACCGGCUAACUACGUG
rnacentral:rRNA from 1 species